UACGAAGGGGGGCUAGCGUUGUUCGGAUUUACUGGGCGUAAAGCGCACGUAGGCGGAUUGUUAAGUCGGGGGGUGAAAUCCUGGAGCUCAACUUCAGAAUUGCCUUCGAUACUGGCUUUCUAGAGGCUGGAAGAGGUUAGUGGAAUUCCCAGUGUAGAGGUGAAAUUCGUAGAUAUUGGGAAGAACACCAGUGGCGAAGGCGGCUAACUGGUCCAGAUCUGACGCUGAGGUGCGAAAGCGUGGGGAGCAAACAGG
rnacentral:rRNA from 1 species